GAGUAGCGGCGAGCGAACCGGGAAAAGCCCAAACCAGCAAGCUUGCUUGUUGGGGUUGUAGGACUCCAAUAUGGUAGUUCUUUCAGAUAGUCGACUGACUUGGAAAAGUCAGUCAAAGAGGGUAAAAACCCCGUAGACGAAAUGUGGAAGACACCUAGGACGAUCCUGAGUACGGCGGAACACGAGAAAUUCCGUCGGAAUCCGGGAGGACCAUCUCACAAGGCUAAAUACACCCUAGUGACCGAUAGAGAACCAGUACCG
rnacentral:rRNA from 1 species